GGACCCGCACAAGUAGUGGAGCAUGUGGUUUAAUUCGAAGAUACGCGCAGAACCUUACCAACACUUGACAUGUUCGUCGCGACUUUGAGAGAUCAAAGUUUUUCGGUUCGGCCGGACGAAACACAGGUGCUGCAUGGCUGUCGUCAGCUCGUGUCGUGAGAUGUUGGGUUAAGUCCCGCAACGAGCGCAACCCUCACUUUUUAGUUGCCAUCAUUAAGUUGGGCACUCUGAAAGAACUGCCAGUGAUAAGCUGGAGGAAGGUGGGGAUGACGUCAAGUCCUCAUGGCCCUUACGUGUUGGGCUACACACGUGCUACAAUGGUAUCUACAACAGGAAGCAAGCUGCGAAGUUAAG
rnacentral:rRNA from 1 species